AGAGUUUGAUCAUGGCUCAGAUUGAACGCUGCGGCAGGCCUAACACAUGCAAGUCGAACGGUAACAGGAAGAAGCUUGCUUCUUUGCUGACGAGUGGCGGACGGGUGAGUAAUGUCUGGGAAACUGCCUGAUGGAGGGGGAUAACUACUGGAAACGGUAGCUAAUACCGCAUAACGUCGCAAGACCAAAGAGGGGGACCUUCGGGCCUCUUGCCAUCGGAUGUGCCCAGAUGGGAAUAGCUAGUAGGUGGGGUAACGGCUCACCUAGGCGACGAUCCCUAGCUGGUCUGAGAGGAUGACCAGCCACACUGGAACUGAGACACGGUCCAGACUCCUACGGGAGGCAGCAGUGGGGAAUAUUGCACAAUGGGCGCAAGCCUGAUGCAGCCAUGCCGCGUGUAUGAAGAAGGCCUUCGGGUUGUAAAGUACUUUCAGCGGGGAGGAAGGGAGUAAAGCUAAUACCUUUGCUCAUUGACGAACCCGCA
rnacentral:rRNA from 1 species